GUUAUUGGCACCAUAGAAGCAAAAGAUUUUGAAAGAUACUGUUGUCAGCUACAGACUGCAUGGAGUGUAUAUACAAAAGAAACCAAAGAAAUUUCUACAAAAUCCAGGAAAUGUACAAAAGAAAGGGUGCCAUUCUAAAAAAGGGAGUGAUAGGCUUUUACGCUACUUGGAAGAAAUACUGGUUGUUUUUUCACUGGAAAGGAAAAAGCUGUGGGAUUUUCUUAGACGAGACUGUAAG